UACGUAGGGUGCAAGCGUUAAUCGGAAUUACUGGGCGUAAAGCGUGCGCAGGCGGUGAUGUAAGACAGAUGUGAAAUCCCCGGGCUCAACCUGGGAACUGCAUUUGUGACUGCAUCGCUGGAGUGCGGCAGAGGGGGAUGGAAUUCCACGUGUAGCAGUGAAAUGCGUAGAUAUGCGGAGGAACACCGAUGGCGAAGGCAAUCCCCUGGGCCUGCACUGACGCUCAUGCACGAAAGCGUGGGGAGCAAACAGG
rnacentral:rRNA from 1 species